rnacentral:rRNA from 1 species
AUUGAACGCUGGCGGCAGGCUUAACACAUGCAAGUCGAACGUGUGGCGGACGGGUGUGUAAUGCUUGGGACUCUGGGUUAUGGAGGGGUAUUACUCCGAGAAACUGUAGCAAAUACCGCAUAACCUAGGUUGAGCCCAAGUGGGAUUAGGUAGUGGGUGAGGUAAAGGCUCAUCAAGCCGAAGAUCUCUAGCUGGUCUGAGAGGAUGACCAGCCACACUGGAACUGAGACACGGCCCAGACUCCUACGGGAGGCAGCAGUGGGGAAUAUUGCGCAAUGGGGGAAAGCUGACGCAGCCAUGCCGCGUGAAUGAAGAAGGCCUUCGGGUUGUAAAGUUCUUUCGGUAGGGAGGCGUUACCUACAGAAGAAGCACCGGCUAACUCCGUGCCAGCAGCCGCGGUAAUUC